rnacentral:rRNA from 1 species
ACGCUGGCGGCAGGCUUAACACAUGCAAGUCGAGCGGGGGAAGGUAGCUUGCUACCGGACCUAGCGGCGGACGGGUGAGUAAUGCUUAGGAAUCUGCCUAUUAGUGGGGGACAACAUCUCGAAAGGGAUGCUAAUACCGCAUACGUCCUACGGGAGAAAGCAGGGGAUCUUCGGACCUUGCGCUAAUAGAUGAGCCUAAGUCGGAUUAGCUAGUUGGUGGGGUAAAGGCCUACCAAGGCGACGAUCUGUAGCGGGUCUGAGAGGAUGAUCCGCCACACUGGGACUGAGACACGGCCCAGACUCCUACGGGAGGCAGCAGUGGGGAAUAUUGGACAAUGGGGGGAACCCUGAUCCAGCCAUGCCGCGUGUGUGAAGAAGGCCUUAUGGUUGUAAAGCACUUUAAGCGAGGAGGAGGCUACUUUAGUUAAUACCUAGAGAUAGUGGACGUUACUCGCAGAAUAAGCACCGGCUAACUCUGUGCCAGCA